UACGGGGGGGGCAAGCGGUUGUUCGGAAUUACUGGGCGUAAAGGGCUCGUAGGCGGCCAACUAAGUCAGACGUGAAAUCCCUCGGCUUAACCGGGGAACUGCGUCUGAUACUGGAUGGCUUGAGGUUGGGAGAGGGAUGCGGAAUUCCAGGUGUAGCGGUGAAAUGCGUAGAUAUCUGGAGGAACACCGGUGGCGAAGGCGGCAUCCUGGACCAAUUCUGACGCUGAGGAGCGAAAGCCAGGGGAGCAAAACGGGG
rnacentral:rRNA from 1 species